rnacentral:misc_RNA from 1 species
AACACUGUUAACCUGCGGUACCUGCGGAGGGAUCAUUAUUGAAUAAACUUGGUCAAGCUGUUGCUGGUCCUUCGGGACAUGUGCACGCUUGCCACCAAUUUUAACCACCUGUGCACUUUUUGUAGACUUGGAAACGUUUCUCGAGGCAACUCGGAUUGAGAACUGCUAGCGCAAGUCGGCUUUUCUUAUGUUUUCUCAGUCUAUGUUUUCAUAUACACCUAAUGUAUGUAUCAGAAUGUA